GUGCUCGCUUUGGCAGCACAUAUACUAAAAUUGAAACAAUACAGGGAAGAUUAGCAUGGCCCCUGUUCAAGGAUGACACGUAAAUUCACGAAGCAUUUCAUAUUUUU
ensembl:snRNA U6 U6 spliceosomal RNA